AGGAAGCACCGGCUAACUCCGUGCCAGCAGCCGCGGUAAUACCGAGGGUGCCAGCGUUGUCCGGAAUCACUGGGCGUAAAGGGCGCGUAUGCGGCACAGUAAGUAGGGGGUGAAAUCUCACGGCUCAACCGUGAAACGGCCUCCUAAACUGCUGCGCUUGAGCACGGUAGAGGCAGAUGGAAUUCCCGGUGUAGCGGUGGAAUGCGUAGAUAUCGCGGAAGAACACCAGUGGCGAAGGCGGUCUGCUGGGCCUUUGCUGACGCUGAGGCCCCACAGCGUGGGGAGCAAACAGGAUUAGAUACCCUGGUAGUCCACGCCCUAAACGAUGGGUACUAUGCGUCAGGGGGAGCGACCCUUUCGGUGCCGUCGCUAACGCAAUAGGUACCCCGCCUGGGGAGUACGGCCGCAAGGCCGAAACUCAAAGGAAUUGAUCGGGGCCCCGCCCAUCCGAGGCAGCAUGGUGGUUAGAUCGAGGCCACACGAAGAAACUUACCUGGGCCUUGCCGAUGCCCGAAGAAAACUUUGUGGAAACCACCCUCCCCUCUUUCUGAAGUUCAUGCCCAAGCUUCUGCCAUGGUUGGUCCUGCACCCCCUGGUUUCAGUUGGCCCGAGUUAAGCUCCCCCAACAAACCGGCACCCUCGGCCCCUUAAUCUGCCAUCGGAAAAUCGUCCGUGGACUCUCCCGGCAAAUGUUCGGCC
rnacentral:rRNA from 1 species